rnacentral:rRNA from 1 species
UACGUAGGGUGCAGGCGUUAAUCGGAAUUACUGGGCGUAAAGCGCGCGUAGGCGGCUUUGCAAGUCGAGUGUGAAAUCCCCAGGCUCAACCUGGGAACUGCAUUCGAGACUGCAUAGCUAGAGUAUGGGAGAGGGAAGUGGAAUUUCAGGUGUAGCGGUGAAAUGCGUAGAUAUCUGAAGGAACAUCAGUGGCGAAAGCGACUUCCUGGACCAAUACUGACGCUCAUGUGCGAAAGCGUGGGGAGCAAACAGG